UUAAGUGAAAAUUAGAGAAGCGCCGAGAAAAUAAUAACUUCCCUCUAUACUCGAAUACAAUUUCUAUAUAAUGGUGUAAAAAUUAGUCUUCACAAAAAAAUAAAAACAGAGACAAAAAAAAAUCAAUUGAACCCUAUCGUUCUCUCUUCUCCCAGCGACACAGUCCUAACCCAAUUACCUCCACGACCAUCACCAUCGUCCUCUCCUAUCUGUCUGUCAUCUCCACCUUGUCUCCGUCUAUCUCGUCUCAUCCUCGUCACCACCGUACCUAUCCCCCUAGUCUCCUCCUUUGAAAAUAAACAGAUGAUGGAGUGGUUCUUCCUUCCAAGACGUUUCGGGCUUUCGAUUUGCCCUCGUCGGAUUCAAUCCCAUCUAUUGGAACACAGAAAAUCCUAUAUCUGCUCAUAUGGGUUUUCAUUUUAAGGGUUUCUGAUAGAUUCUAUGGUAGAAAUCUCCCUUCUUUUGUGUGUGAGUGGUGGUAGUGUUGAUGUUACCGUAAUCUCAUCCUCGUCACAACAGCUCCUCUCCUCCUCGUCUCCUUUUGUGUUUGUGAUAGGCCCACGGGAAUCAAAGUACACAUUUCUUCAAGAAUCUGAUGACCAGAUUCAAGCUUCUUCUGCUAAAGAAUUCAACAAUAUCGUUCGGAUUAAACUAAGACCUAUGAAGUUAUUGUCAGGUAAGCGUUAGAUGAAUCUUGUUGUAUUUAUUGCUCCUUUGGGUUGCAUAGUCAAGAAAGACCAAACUUUAUGUCUAAUCAGGAGUUGCAGCAGCAGACAAUCUUACUAAACAGAAACUGAACUCGAAGAUACUUCAGGCUUUGUCUGUAUUCUCUUUUUGUUUUCUUGAUACCCUUUUUUGAUCACUACUUACAGUUAAUGUGUGUGAGCAGGAGGAGCAGAAACAUUGUUGACACCUCAUAUCAAGGACUACUCGAGUUUAGUAUUCUCUCAGCUUCAGGAGCUGUCUAGUGUGGUACUUCUUCACUCCAAGGAUCUAAACAUUCCUACUGGAGUUGUUACGUAUGAUUUAUAACAUUUUCAUGUCCUUGUGCGGUACUUUUGCUAGAAUGUUUAUCUGGUUAGGGUCUUGUGAUCUGUAUUUGCAGGGGCUAUAACAUUUUUAUGUCCUUGUGCGGUACUUUUCUGGAUUGUUUAUCUGAUUAGGGUCUUGUGAUGUGAAUUUGCAGGGGCUAUUUGAUAUCAUUGCUAUGUCAGGUUCUUUCUUGAAUACUGAGAGUAAUGGUACUGUGAGCAGAACGUGCAUCUUGUUGGUCCUGAUGGUUGUAUUGUGGGCUUUGUUGCUGGAAUGCUAGUUGCUAGGUCACAAGUCCAGGUCAUUGUUGGAAGCUUUGUAUCAAAGAAACUGAAACUGAGCACAAGGCGUGUUGAGAAUAACUUAAGCCAGGUUCAGCUUCACCAUCUGUAUUGGUGGGAAGAGCGUUGGUGAAGUCCAUUAGGAAGCUGGAAAAUGGUGUCCAUGUUGUGUAUGGGACAGGCGUGUAUGUGACAUGAUUAAGAGGAGAAGUCUACGCACCAGAGCUAUUAAGCUUUUGAGUCUUGAUGAAUCUGAUGAGAUGCUGAGCAGACGGUUCAAGGACCGAUAAGCUGAUAAGAUCCGCAACAAACUAAUACCGUGGCGGGGCAGGACUAUGCGGGGUGGUGCCACACUUUGCCAUCACUAACGCAGGUCCCGAUUCUUAUGAAAAGAAGAGGUAGUUCGUUGCCAUCAACAACCAAAGUAAAAAGCUUUUUGUAGAUGUCAUUAGUUUAGAUAUAUUUGUCUCAGAAACAUAAAGCUUUCAUGUUUGUACUAACACUUGUGAUAAUAUAUAAAAUCAUUUUAUGAAUA